UACGUAGGGGGCUAGCGUUGUCCGGAAUCAUUGGGCGUAAAGAGCGUGUAGGCGGUCCGGUAAGUCCGCUGUGAAAGUCGGGGCUCAACCCUCGAAUGCCGGUGGAUACUGUCGGGCUAGAGUGCGGAAGAGGCGAGUGGAAUUCCUGGUGUAGCGGUGAAAUGCGCAGAUAUCAGGAGGAACACCAAUGGCGAAGGCAGCACUCUGGGACGUGACUGACGCUGAGACGCGAAAGCGUGGGAGCAACAGG
rnacentral:rRNA from 1 species